UACGAGGGGUCCUAGCGUUGUUCGGAAUCAUUGGGCGUAAAGCGGGUGUAGGCGGCUAAGUAAGUCAGAAGUGAAAGCCCCGGGCUCAACCCGGGAAGUGCUUUUGAUACUGCUUAGCUUGAGUGUGCGAGAGGAUAGUGGAAUUCCUGGUGUAGUGGUGAAAUACAUAGAUAUCAGGAGGAACUCCAGUGAGGAAGCUGGCUAUCUGGCGCAACACUGACGCUCAGACCCGAAAGCGUGGGGAGCAAACAGG
rnacentral:rRNA from 1 species